UGAGAAAGUACAUGCGGGGUGGCCUGGCGUGGAAGGCGCGGUCGAGCUCUUCACCCAAGGAUCU
rnacentral:RNase_MRP_RNA from 1 species